rnacentral:rRNA from 1 species
AUUGAACGCUGGCGGCAUGCCUUACACAUGCAAGUCGAACGGUAACAGGGAGCUUGCUCCGCUGACGAGUGGCGAACGGGUGAGUAAUGUAUCGGAACGUACCUUUCAGUGGGGGAUAACGUAGCGAAAGUUACGCUAAUACCGCAUAUUCUGUGAGCAGGAAAGCAGGGGACCUUCGGGCCUUGCGCUGAUUGAGCGGCUGAUAUCAGAUUAGCUAGUUGGGGAGGUAAAGGCUCACCAAGGCGACGAUCUGUAGCGGGUCUGAGAGGAUGAACCGCCAAACUGGAACUGAGACACGGUCCAGCGUCCUACGGGAGGCAGCAGUGGGGAAGUUUGGAAAAUGGGAGCAACCCUGAUCCAGCCAAGCCGCGUGAGUGAAGAAGGCCUUCGGGUUGUAAAGCUCCUUCGGCCGGGAAAAAGUCGCAUGGGCUAAUACCCUGUGUGGAUGAUGGUACCGGAAUAAGAGGUUGCUAACUCUGUGCCAGCCGCCGCCGUAA